UUUAUUUUAGAAAUAUGGCUUGGACUACACCUAUUUUGCUGUUUGUUUUGGGCCUAAGUGCUCGCUGCUGCCACAUUACGUGCCCCGUAAUUGAUUGCAGGCCCUGAAUGGUCAAGAUAUGUAUCACAUAUGUAUCGAAUAUAUGGAAAAGCAUUUGUAAAAAUAAAAUGAAUAAACUUUGUGACCAUAAAAUAAAAAGAACAUAGCACACAGAAA